AUUGAACGCUAGCGGGAUGCCUUACACAUGCAAGUCGAACGGAGUGGCGAACGGGUGAGUAAUGUAUCGGAACGUGCCCAGUAGCGGGGGAUAACUACGCGAAAGCGUAGCUAAUACCGCAUACUUUUUGAGCGGCCUAUAUCGGAUUAGCUAGUUGGUGGGGUAACGGCUUACCAAGGCGACGAUCCAUAGCCGGCUUGCGAGGACGACCAGCCACACGGGGACUGAGACACGGCCCAGACUCCUACGGGAGGCAGCAGUGGGGAAUGUUGGGCAAUGGGGGAAAGCCUGACCCAGCCACCCCGCGUGUGCGAUGAAGGCCUUCGGGUUGUAAAGCACUGUUGGCAGGAAAGCGGUACCUGAAGAAAAAGCACCGGCUAACUACGUGCCAGCAGCCGCGGUAAUAC
rnacentral:rRNA from 1 species